GAUGAACGCUGGCGGCGUGCCUAAUACAUGCAAGUCGAGCGAACGGACGAGAAGCUUGCUUCUCUGAUGUUAGCGGCGGACGGGUGAGUAAUACGUGGAUAACCUACCUAUAAGACUGGGAUAACUUCGGGAAACCGGAGCUAAUACCGGAUAAUAUUUUGAACCGCAUGGUUCAAAAGUGAAAGACGGUCUUGCUGUCACUUAUAGAUGGAUCCGCGCUGCAUUAGCUAGUUGGUAAGGUAACGGCUUACCAAGGCAACGAUGCAUAGCCGACCUGAGAGGGUGAUCGGCCACACUGGAACUGAGACACGGUCCAGACUCCUACGGGAGGCAGCAGUAGGGAAUCUUCCGCAAUGGGCGAAAGCCUGACGGAGCAACACCGCGUGAGUGAUGAAGGUCUUCGGAUCGUAAAACUCUGUUAUUAGGGAAGAACAUAUGUGUAAGUAACUGUGCACAUCUUGACGGUACCUAAUCAGAAAGCCACGGCUAACUACGUG
rnacentral:rRNA from 1 species